GAGAUCGUACUUCUAGGGAUCAGUCCUAUAGUACGUAUCACCAAGUCGUUUUAUUUUUUUUAGUGAUGAUAACAUUUCUUACUUUCAUGUGUGUUAUGUCUGACGCUUUAGUUCAAUUUCAUGGACAUGUUCUCGUGAG
rnacentral:snoRNA from 1 species